GAUGAACGCUGGCGGCGUGCCUAACACAUGCAAGUCGAACGGAGUUAUUAUUAUGAAGUUUUCGGAUGGAUUAAUAAUAACUUAGUGGCGGACGGGUAAGUAACGCGUGGGUAACCUGCCUCAUACAGGGGGAUAACAGUUGGAAACGGCUGCUAACACCGCAUAACAUUGCGAUGUCGCAUGACAAUGCAAUUAAAUAUUUAUAGGUAUGAGAUGGGCCCGCGUCUGAUUAGCUAGUUGGUGGGGUAAUGGCCUACCAAGGCGACGAUCAGUAGCCGGCUUGAGAGAGUGACCGGCCACAUUGGGACUGAGACACGGCCCAAACUCCUACGGGAGGCAGCAGUGGGGAAUAUUGCACAAUGGGGGAAACCCUGAUGCAGCGACGCCGCGUGAGUGAAGAAGUAUUUCGGUAUGUAAAGCUCUAUCAGCAGGGAAGAAAAUGACGGUACCUGACUAAGAAGCCCCGGCUAACUACGUGCCAGCCGCCGCAGUAA
rnacentral:rRNA from 1 species